rnacentral:rRNA from 1 species
AGAGCGAACGCUGGCGGCAGGCCUAAUACAUGCAAGUCGAACGAACCCUUCGGGGUGAGUGGCGGACGGGUGAGUAACACGUGGGAACGUACCCUUUGGUUCGGAACAACUCAGGGAAACUUGAGCUAAUACCGAAUGUGCCCUUCGGGGGAAAGAUUUAUCGCCAUUGGAGCGGCCCGCGUCUGAUUAGCUUGUUGGUGGGGUAAAGGCCCACCAAGGCAACGAUCAGCAGCUGGUCUGAGAGGAUGAUCAGCCACACUGGGACUGAGACACGGCCCAGACUCCUACGGGAGGCAGCAGUAGGGAAUCUUGCGCAAUGGGCGAAAGCCUGACGCAGCCAUGCCGCGUGAAUGAUGAAGGUCUUAGGAUUGUAAAAUUCUUUCAGCGGGGACGAUAAUGACGGUACCGCAGAAGAAGCCCCGGCUAACUUCGUGCCAGCAGCCGC